GAGUUUGAUCUUGGCUCAGGACGAACGCUGGCGGCGUGCUUAACACAUGCAAGUCGUACGAGAAAGUUCCCUUCGGGGGGAUUGAGUACAGUGGCGCACGGGUGAGUAACGCGUAAGUAAUCUGCCCCUUGGUCUGGCGAUAACUCCGGGAAACCGGGGCUAAUAGCAGAUGAUAUCGUAAGGAAUCGAAAAGCCUUCGGGCGCCAAGGGAUGAGCUUGCGUCCCAUUAGCUAGUUGGCGGGGUAACAGGACCCACCAAGGCGACGAUGGGUAGCUGGUCUGAGAGGAUGAUCAGCCACA
rnacentral:rRNA from 1 species